rnacentral:rRNA from 1 species
GUCGAGCGGACAGAUGGGAGCUUGCUUCCUGAUGUUAGCGGCGGACGGGUGAGUAAACACGUGGGUAAACCUGCCUGUAAGACUGGGAUAACUCCGGGAAACCGGGGCUAAUACCGGAUGGUUGUUUGAACCGCAUGGUUCAAACAUAAAAGGUGGCUUCGGCUACCACUUACAGAUGGACCCGCGGCGCAUUAGCUAGUUGGUGAGGUAACGGCUCACCAAGGCAACGAUGCGUAGCCGACCUGAGAGGGUGAUCGGCCACACUGGGACUGAGACACGGCCCAGACUCCUACGGGAGGCAGCAGUAGGGAAUCUUCCGCAAUGGACGAAAGUCUGACGGAGCAACGCCGCGUGAGUGAUGAAGGUUUUCGGAUCGUAAAGCUCUGUUGUUAGGGAAGAACAAGUACCGUUCGAAUAGGGCGGUACCUUGACGGUACCUAACCAGAAAGCCACGGCUAACUACGUGCCAGCAGCCGCGGUAAUACGUAGGUGGCAAGCGUUGUCCGGAAUUAUUGGGCGUAAAGGGCUCGCAGGCGGUUUCUUAAGUCUGAUGUGAAAGCCCCCGGCUCAACCGGGGAGGGUCAUUGGAAACUGGGGAACUUGAGUGCAGAAGAGGAGAGUGGAAUUCCACGUGUAGCGGUGAAAUGCGUAGAGAUGUGGAGGAACACCAGUGGCGAAGGCGACUCUCUGGUCUGUAACUGACGCUGAGGAGCGAAAGCGUGGGGAGCGAACAGGAUU